rnacentral:rRNA from 1 species
UACAGAGGGUGCAAGCGUUGUCCGGAAUCACUGGGCGUAAAGGGCGCGUAGGCGGCCUGAUAAGUCGGGGGUGAAAUUCUGCGGCUUAACCGCAGGACGGCCUUCGAGACUGUCGGGCUUGAGCACGGUAGAGGCAGGUGGAAUUCCCGGUGUAGUGGUGAAAUGCGUAGAUAUCGGGAGGAACACCAGUGGCGAAGGCGACUACCUGGCCUGUUCUUGACGCUGAGGCGCGAAAGCUAGGGGAGCAAACGGG